rnacentral:tRNA from 1 species
GAGGGUACAGUUCAGUGGUAAAAGCAUGUGCUUAGCAUGCAUGAGGUCCUGAGUUCAAUCCCCAGUACCUCCA